GGGAUCCUCUUGCCUCAGCCUCCCAAGUAGCUGGGACCACAGAGGAGAAUGUGCUGGCUCUGAUGUUCAGUGACAAGGGAACAGAGAGAGGUAGGAAGGCCUGAACCAGCCAAGAGACUUUACCUGAGACAAAGCAGCUGCCGUUUUAUGAGGACACUCAAGCAGCUCUAUGGAGAGGCCCACGUGGUGAGAAACUGAGGCCUCCUGCCAAAAACCAGCAUCAACUUGUCAGUCAUGUGACUGAACCAUCCUGGAAGCAGAUCUUCCCACUCCAGUGAACCCUGCAGUUGAUCACAGCCCCAGUGGAUACUUUGGCUGCAGAGAGACCAUGAUCUAGAACCAAUUAGCUAAGUUGCUCCUGAA